rnacentral:rRNA from 1 species
UACGGGGGGGGGCAAGCGUUGUUCGGAAUUACUGGGCGUAAAGGGCGCGUAGGCGGUGCGGUAAGUCACCUGUGAAAUCUCCUGGCUCAACCGGGAGCUUGCAGGCGAAACUGCCGUGCUGGAGUAUGGGAGAGGUGCGUGGAAUUCCUGGUGUAGCGGUGAAAUGCGUAGAUAUCAGGAGGAAUACCUGUGGCGAAAGCGGCGCACUGGACCAUAACUGACGCUGAGGCGCGAAAGCUAGGGGAGCAAACAGG